rnacentral:rRNA from 1 species
UACGUAGGAGGCGAGCGUUAUCCGGAUUUACUGGGCGUAAAGGGCGCGCAGGCUGUUAUGCGAGUCUGCUGUGAAAUGUACCGGCUCAACCGGUGCCUUGCGGCGGAUACUGCAUAGCUGGAGUACUGGAGAGGGAAGUGGAAUUCCCGGUGUAGCGGUGAAAUGCGCAGAUAUCAGGAGGAACACCGGUGGCGAAGGCGGGUCUCUGGGUAGUAACUGACGCUGAGGAGCGAAAGCAUGGGUAGCGAACAGGAUUA